GGGCCUAUAGCUCAGCUGGGAGAGCAUCUGCCUUACAAGCAGGGGGUCACAGGUUCGAGCCCUGUUGGGCCCACCA
rnacentral:tRNA from 2 species